rnacentral:misc_RNA from 1 species
AUGCGCCUUACAAUCCCACUUGGUAGAAACAAUUCAAGUGUGGUCAGAAGGCUCGAUGCAUCAUUUUCUUGGCUUCUUCACCAAACUAAGUUUUAUCUUCUUAAGACGAAACCUCUUUCCUAUAAAUUUUCUCAGGCAGUGUCUCCCCAUUCUUCUCUUUCUUCACAACUUUUGACUUCAAAAAUUUUGCAUCCACUCUAUAAUCUUUGGGUGUGAUCGGUACCCCAUUACUCAAAGCUUCAUUAAAGAG